rnacentral:rRNA from 8 species
UGAACCUGCGGUAGGAUCAUUG